rnacentral:rRNA from 1 species
ACGCACGCUGGCGGCGUGCUUAACCCCUGCAAGUCGCACGGAAAGGCCCUGCUUUUGUGGGGUGCUCGAGUGGCGAACGGGUGAGUAACACGUGAGUAACCUGCCCUUGACUUUGGGAUAACUUCAGGAAACUGGGGCUAAUACCGGAUAGGAGCUCCUGCUGCAUGGUGGGGGUUGGAAAGUUUCGGCGGUUGGGGAUGGACUCGCGGCUUAUCAGCUUGUUGGUGGGGUAGUGGCUUACCAAGGCUUUGACGGGUAGCCGGCCUGAGAGGGUGACCGGCCACAUUGGGACUGAGAUACGGCCCAGACUCCUACGGGAGGCAGCAGUGGGGAAUAUUGCACAAUGGGCGGAAGCCUGAUGCAGCAACGCCGCGUGCGGGAUGAAGGCCUUCGGGUUGUAAACCGCUUUCGCCUGUGACGAAGCGUGAGUGACGGUAAUGGGUAAAGAAGCACCGGCUAACUACGUG